CUCCACAGUGGGAAUUACUGAUAUUGAUUUUUGUAUGUCAAUCUAUAAAUCAUUUUAAUUGAUAUUUAUUGAGUUUAAAUUGACGUGAAUUAGUUCCAAGCGUACAACAUAACAACUGGAUUUCAUUAUCACAUGGAGGACAACACUUUCCACUGUCACAUAUGUAUACUCAACAACUUGAGAAUUGGGCAAGUCAGAGAGAACUUACUUAAAAUGCCCCCAGAGUGGAUGGAAGCAGUGUGUCUACAUGCCUGGCAUGCCCACUGACAUAGGUGUCCAUGAUCUGGGAAUGAACCACAAUGUCAGGAUUGCUGGGCCAUUCAGCUCCUCCAUCUUCUCCACACCUGCCUGACUUGAGUCACAGCUGACCCUAGCAUGAACAUAGGAAUAUUUGAUGAAUCUCAUGCAUACUUCAUGGAAACUGGUUUUGGUGCAAAAGGUAUCUUCCAAAAUACAAUUCUGGGUUGACUACCCCCAGAUGCAGGAGAUCUCUCAGAAACAAAAUAAAAUCAAGCUUGUUACUUUAUAACUUGUAUUUACUGAUUGAUUCAUCUGUUCAUUCUUUUUAUUGGGUUAUCAAAUAUAUUUUGAGGGCUUCCUAUGUGCUAGGCACUAUGUAAGAUACUGGAAAUAAAGAUGAACAAGAUACAGUCCCUGGUCUUGUUGGGCUCACAGCCCAUUGGAGAAUAUGGACAAGUAAACAAAGAAGCAUGAAGAAGAGUGACAAGGCACCCAGAAUGUCCCCCCUCAGGAGGGGGAAUCAGUGGCUGCACUUGGGAAUGCUGAGGGGUUGAAUUCUCACCUAGAACACUGGAGGAGGUUGCUUCUUUCAUGUUUGUCCUGAGGAGAGAUGAAGAAUAAGUCCCUUUCUUUCACAACAUGAGAAAGAAAUGUACAACUGUGGAAAAUCUUCAUCUUGGAGGCAAGCAGUGCUGGGAAGCUAAAGAAAACCAAAGAUCCCCGCCACCAUCCUCUUACCUUCCCAUCAAUAGGACACAGUGGAUGAGCAAGUAUGAGGCAUACAGACCUGUAGGAACUUGAACUUGGCCGUCAGAAAUAUUUAUCCAGACAUGAAAUGCCUUGGUGUGGCCCUCUAGGAACACAUAUUCAGCUGGUCUCACCGAUUUGCAAGAUUCUGAAGGACUGAGUACUAAAAACAAACCUCCACUAUCAUAAAGAGUGUGGUUCAUGAGCACCUAUUGGAUUCCUUUAUUAAAAUACAAGCUACCAGAAAAAAAUGAAUAUGUUAAUGUUUUUAUCUAUAUAAUAUUGAAAUAUUUGAAUGUUCACAAAUAUCCCAAAGUUGAACAUAGUAUAGAAUAUCUGGUGCCAUUUCUUGAGAUAUUACUAUGUGACAGGUACUGUGUUAAGUACUUUAUAGGCGUAAUCUCAUUAUUACUUGUUUCUCAUUACUAUCCUUACUUUAUAUAGAAGAAAAUUGAAUUUUAUUUUUUUUUUUUUCACUUGCCCAAGGUCACACAAUUUAUGGUUAGUGUAGCCUAAUUUCAAGUCUGAAUUGGACUUCUUUCCAAUAAACUAUUUUUCCUUUUAAAUCAUCUGUUUCACUGAUUGACUUAAGGUCUUGUCAAUUGAUGACUGGAUUGAUUUAUUAUACCGUAAGUUUUUAAAAAUAGGUUACCUUAAUAUUAACCUUAGUUGUUUCCAUGUUGAGGUACACCCUCCUGGACUAUAUAUACAGUACUAUGUGUUCAAAGUUAAGGAGUGUCACGUGAUGGUCAACACAGUGCUUAUCCCCUUCUGGAUACUCACAACUGGUCAAGCAACGUGGAAUAAAACUGUCCAACAUUCAGACUAGCUCACUCAGGUUAGGAUUGUGCCCCCUUCUUUGAACAUACCUCCUUCUUUGUCUUUUGGGGAAAGCCUGGAAAAUCAUCUAUCCAAUUUCUAAAAUGUAUUAAUUAUUGAGGUUCUACGGCCCCAGGGAUUAGGCCCAGGGGUACAAAGCAAACUAGGGCAUGGUUCUUGCCUUUAACAAGGACACAGAAGAGUUGGAGAAGUUGAUACAUAAUCAGGUAUGUUGCAAAAUUCCUGCUGAUGGCUGGGUUGCAGGCACAACCAGUCUUCUGCUAGAGCACAGAGACAUAACCCUGUCACUGCAUCUGGAGGGGUCAAGGAUGACUCUCUGAAGAGAGAGUCAUGUUAGUUAAUAAUGGCUAGAAGAGACCUGCAAGCAGAGCCAAGGGCAAGAUCAAGGCUCCACAGGUGAGGACAUGGUGCCCUCCUGGGAAAUGAGAGAUUUAUUAUGAGCAGAGAGUACUCAGCAAGGGUGGGAGGAGCAUGCUGAGGGAAUGAGGCUGAAAAAUAAGAAAGAAACAUAUAAUGAAUGGCUAAGAAAUGUAAGUUUUUUCCUGUCUAAAAGACAAAGCAAAUGAGAUUGAGAACUUAGCACAUACAAAUGUCCCCAGCCAACAGGAAGCUUUGGCACUGUUGGUUCUCUCCCAUCCCAGAGAUUCCAAAAUUUUUUCUUGCUUGGGAAAUGCCCUCCAGUGACAGGUCUCCACCCAUCUACUUGCCAGAUGCACACUUUCCUCUCAGCAGACCAGUCCAAAUGGAUCUGCCACCCCACAUCUCCCCAGGGUGGGGCUGAUGAGGGUAGGGCAGACACCAACAUUGGCCGCCACCAGGCUCACCCAGCAAAUGGUUUUCUCUGGGCCUAAUUAAAGAUGACUUGAUGUCUACAUGGCUACACUUAAGUCUUUGUUGGUCUGCUUAUUGUUUCCACUGAGCAUGACAAGGCUUAGGAGCUUUAUUCUGAGUGUCUCAGCCAAGUGCCAAAGGGAAAGAAAUUAAAAAAAA
rnacentral:lncRNA from 1 species